GACGAACGCUGGCGGCGUGGAUUAGGCAUGCAAGUCGAACGGUAUCAUCCUUUCGGGGGUGAGAGAGUGGCGAACUGGUGAGUAACACGUAGGUUAUCUACCCUCAAGACGGGGACAACCCAGGGAAACUUGGGCUAAUACCGGAUGUGAGCAACUUUUAGUUGUUUGAAAGGUGGCGUAAGCUGUCGCUUGGGGAUGAGCCUGCGUCCUAUUAGUUAGUUGGUGAGGUAACGGCUCACCUAGGCAAUGAUAGGUAGGCGGCCUUAACGGGUGGUCGCCCACACUGGGAUUGAGAUACGGCCCAGACUCCUACGGGAGCAGCAGUCGAGAAUAGUCUACAAUGGUCGGAAGACUGAUAGUGCGACGCCGCGUGAACGAUGAAUCCCUUCGGGGUGUAAAGUUCUUUUAUAUGUGAGCAGUGCUUCUUAUAUUAACAGUAUGGGGAAGAGAUAUUAGCAUAUGAAUAAGCAACGGCUAACUCCGUGCCAGCAGCCGCGGUAAUCUCG
rnacentral:rRNA from 1 species